rnacentral:snoRNA from 13 species
UGCACCUAAAAGCGUUUUCUUGUCCGCCUUAAAAAAUGCGCUUGAAAAUCGUAGAUGUGUGCUAGAAUAUAUAUAUAGACAGUUGCAAGUGAUUCCAAUUGAUUUACAGUGGAAUCCAUGACGCUGACUACAGAU